AUUGAACGCUGGCGGCAGGCCUAACACAUGCAAGUCGAGCGGAGCGGCGGACGGGUGCGUAAUGCAUAGGAAUCUGCCUGGUAGUGGGGGAUAACGUCCGGAAAAGCGCGCUAAUAGCGCAUACUAUCAGAUGAGCCUAGGUCGGAUUCGCUAGUUGGUGGGGUAAAGGCCUACAAAGGCGACGAUCCGUAACUGGUCUGAGAGGAUGAUCAGUCACACUGGAACUGAUAUAAGGGCCAGACUCUUAGGGCAGGCAUCAGCGGCGAAUAGUGGACAAGGAGCGAAAGCCUGAUGCGGCCACGUGGCGUGUGUUAAGAAGGGCUUGUGAGUGUAAGGCUGUUUACUUUGUGAGGCGUUACCAACAGAAUAAGCAUCGGCUAACUCCGUGUCAGCAGCCGCGGUAAUAC
rnacentral:rRNA from 1 species